GCUUCAGUGGCCUAAGUGGUUAUAGCGUCUGCCUCGGAAGCGGGAGAUCGCGGGUUGGAACCCUGACCGAAUCA